GACGAACUGUCCUAACGUUGUUCGGAAUCACUGGGCUUAAAGGGCGCGUAGGCGGUCGACCAAGUCAGGGGUGAAAUCCUGCAGCUUAACUGUAGAAGUGCCUUUGAUACUGGUCGUCUGGAGGGAGAUAGGGGUGUGUGGAACUUCCAGUGGAGCGGUGAAAUGCGUUGAUAUUGGAAGGAACGCCGGAGGCGAAAGCGACGCACUGGAUCUCUACUGAGCUGAGGCGCGAAAGCUAGGGGAGCAAACGGG
rnacentral:rRNA from 1 species